rnacentral:rRNA from 1 species
CCUACGGGAGGCUGCAGUGAGGAAUAUUGGUCAAUGGGCGCGAGCCUGAACCAGCCAAGUCGCGUGAGGGAAGACGGCCCUACGGGUUGUAAACCUCUUUUGCCGGGGAGCAACGGGCGCCACGUGUGGCGCCACUGGGAGUACCCGGAGAAAAAGCAUCGGCUAACUCCGUGCCAGCAGCCGCGGUAAUAAGGAGGAUGCGAGCGUUAUGCGGUUUUAUUGGGUUUAAAGGGUGCGUAGGCGGAGGGUUAAGUCAGGGGUCAAAUUGGGGGGCAAAACCCCUUCCGCCAUUGAAACUGGCGCUCUUGAGUGGAAGAGAGGUAUGCGGAAUGCGUGGUGUAGCGGUGAAAUGCAUAGAUAUCACGCAGAACCCCGAUUGCGAAGGCAGCAUGCCGGCUUCCGACUGACGCUGAAGCACGAAAGCGUGGGGAUCGAACAGGAUUAGAUACCCUGGUAGUC